GGCCUGGAGGCUGUGCACGCGCUCUGGUGGGCACGUGGGGCCCCUUCGUCCCCGGCGUCCCGGCGCCUCGUACCAGCCCCCACCUUGGCCUCUGUCCGGUGACUGCGUCCGCUUCGCAGAAAGACUUGAGAGUCACUCACUCCACCUAGUACCGCCCGGGCUUGUGGUGUUUUGGGGACGUGUUAGGAACACGGGCCGCUAGAAGAAUGGCGUCCAUUUACAUAAUGCUUUGUUUGCAUUUUGUUGGCUUCUGUUAGUGAAGCCCUCAGAAGCCCCACCUCCUGCCCUUGUGUAUUAUCUCCCGCGACGGUUUCUCUAGACAUUAGAGGACCAGUGCGCACUGAUGGGAUGCCGCCAUGGCCCGGCAUGUCCAUACUGGCUCGCGAGCCGCCUGGACCACGCUCUUUGGAGGCGGCCAACACUUGGCGCGGCCGCCAUCUUGGGAGGUCCUCCUGACCGAUCCCUCCCGCCAGGAAAUGGCCAUCAAUACGCUGGAGAGUGGGUUGUGGUUUCUUUGCCUGCUCCUUGUGCCGCCGCCAUAGCCCAGAGGAGGUCGUGUGAACGUGUUUAGUACUUCACAGAAAAGGCUAACGUGGCGCUCCCCCCUUCCCCUCCCCCCACCAGCGGGGAGGGCUGGCGGCCAUGUUUUCCCAACAAAAUGGCGACACGUGUCGCCCUCGAGAAAUUGGGGUGGGUCUGAAAGCUCUAGAACGUGCAUUUUAUCAUUCUUAGACUUUCCCGUAGGAUGAAACCGCAAGCUACUUGAAAGGGUUUUUGUUUUUUUGUUUUUUGUUUUGGCACAAGAUUAAUUCUCUUUACCGCCCCUGUUGGCCAUGAGAAUAGUUAGCAGGCCCAACAAGGAUUCCUGUAAAAUUGAGUGAUGGCAGGCAGGUGUGUCUGUGUAGUAUCUAACCAAAUACCCAAGCAUCUAGAAAUCCGUUUUCCUAGACGCUGUACAGAUUGUAGUGUAACUGAUUAAAGAUUGUUAUGGCUAAGAAGCCAUAGAAUGACUGUGUCUCCCUAUCCAACUGUCCAGUGAUCCAUAAACAAUUAUGUUCACUUUUAUAGUCAAGAGGAACAGAUCGUGAUUGUGGAUGUGCCACACCAGAUUCCAAACAUUUUUUCAUAUGCAAUAUGAUUUUUUAAGUUGCAAAUUCCCUGAAGUUGGUAUUUAUUUCUCUUUUUUCCCCCAACAGAGCAAGACAAACCCAGAGAGAGAGAUGAAGUGACUGACCCAAGGUUACACAGGAUGGAAUCUGUAUCUUCUGAUUUCCUUACUGGCCCACAGUGCAUGUUCUGAGGGGCAGCCCUGGAAGCUACUGAGAUAAUGGAACAGUGGAGUAGAUAGUCCAUUAUAACUCAUCUGUGAUUCUUCUCAAAUUCAAGUGACUACAGAUGUUUCCCAGUCUCCUUGCUGUGCGUGAACAGACUGAAACUGAAUCCAGAAAAGUGAAGUGACGUGUAUUGAGUCACACAGCUCGCCACAAUGGAACUUCAGGCACAUAACCCAAGUCCUGCUGAGCUGUCCUGUAGUGCUGUCACUCCACAGCACAUGGUCAUUCGGAGUAAACUGAGACAUUUUUACUGAGACAGGAAUUUUGCCAGCCAUUCAUGGGGAAUCAGGAAGAGGUAAUAACUCUUUAUACUCAAAAUGUGGCCCAUUUGAAGGACCAUAGAACCCUUUGCCCUGAUGUCCCAUCCCAGUUAAUGGAUCUACCUUGUAAUUCUCAAACUCAAUAAAACCAGAAAGUUGCUUCA